AAAUUAAGGAAAAUGUAAAACAUUAAUUUCCGGAACCUUCCGAUCUAUUUUUGACCAAUCGGGUUGGAGCGGUCAGUUUAAAUACAAGGCCUUUGUUACUGGUCAGUACAAUAUCAGACAGCUGACAAUCAACAGGUGGAUCAAGUUUUCAAGUUUCUCCAGUAAUCUAUUCCGGAUCAAAAUAUAUAUAAUUGUUGUUGAAAUCAAUUCACAACAAGAAAAUGUAACGGUGAACUCCCAUCUUUACCUUACUUAGGACAAAUGCCAGAAAACACGUGAUGGACAAUAAAUAACAUGGAAUGAAAA